rnacentral:rRNA from 1 species
ACCUACGGGGGGCAGCAGUCGGGAAUAUUGCGCAAUGGGGGAAACCCUGAAGCAGCAACGCCGCGUGGAGGAUGAAGGUUUUCGGAUUGUAAACUCCUUUUGUUAGAGAAGAUAAUGACGGUAUCUAACGAAUAAGCACCGGCUAACUCCGUGCCAGCAGCCGCGGUAAUACGGAGGGUGCAAGCGUUACUCGGAAUCACUGGGCGUAAAGAGCGCGUAGGCGGGAUAGCAAGUCAGAUGUGAAAUCCUAUGGCUUAACCAUAGAACUGCAUUUGCAACUGUUAUUCUAGAGUAUGAGAGAGGUU